UUUCACAGUCUAAAUACAAGAGUAGAUCAAUAUCACUUGUAGAAAAUGUAGCAUUAGAAAUACAAUGGAUUACAAUGCAUCUAGAUUCAAGAUCGAUGUUAAAGCAGCCAUUUUCUAUAUGUAGGUUUUUAUUUCACAGAUUAUUGAAUGUGAAAAGAGCAAAGCUCUAGAGGAAGCAACCCAAUGAACAAUUACUAGGAAAGAAGUCCACUAAACUAAGACUUCCUUCUGGAUAAAGAUGCAUAGGAUUUCCUCAGGCCUCAAACUUGCCAAUGCCUGUGUAAUGUGAAUACUUUUGGUUCUGCUAUAUAUAAAAAUGUCUUCUGAAUCAUGUACAUACUUUGGGGCAAUAAUGCAAAUUAACUAACUGAUCCUACUCUGUUUACAAGUCUUCUGCCCCAAUUAAGGAUUUGGGAACUGGCAAGUUGUAUUUGAAAAAGAAAUAAAAAAAUAUUGUAAGCUAACUUUUUCCCAAUAAAAAUCUGAAAAGUACUCUACAUUAAUGACAUUUUUCUUUCCAUAUUACCUCCUAAUCUUUGCUUUGCUUUGUGUCCUUUUAUAGUGUUCUUUCCUAUUUUACAGUAAUUGGUCCUCUAGACAAUUUUUUUUCAGGAACAGAAAGCCAUUUAAAAUAUGCACUCGCUCUCUUUAGCGGUAAGAAUUGUUUUGACUACAUCUUUCAUUCUCAGAACUAACUUCAGCGAAGUCCUAAUAAUUGGACUUCAAGAAUUGGAAAACAUGUUCAGUAGGGAAUGCAUUUAGGUAGAAGCCCAGACUCCCAGUGCAUUUUUUAAAGAUUAAGCAUUAUAAAUAAUCGAUGGGGUGCUGGCCCUAUUAUUUACCAAAGUAGCCGUUCAACUUUCAUAAUUCCUCAGCCAGGAUAACCUUUGAUGAGAAUUCUGCGAACUUCGAAGUCCACUCAUCCAGAAGUUGCCAAGAUUGGAAAAGGCUGUACUGUAGAAGAUUGACACGGUCUAUUUUGGAUCACAUCACUUUGGACCAAAUGCAGGGUGACAUUUUUGAUUCAUUUUUGAUUAUUAUAGCUUAUUAAAAAUGUAUUAUUCAAAGAUGUUACAUAAGAAACACCAAAAAUAUGACACUCCUUGCAACCCCCAGAUCAAAAAUACUAUCUCAUUCUAAUUUAUUGCUUUAAAGCAAUGCAAGACCCACCCC